rnacentral:rRNA from 1 species
UUAUUGGAGAGUUUGAUCCUGGCUCAGGAUGAACGCUGGCGGCGUGCCUAAUACAUGCAAGUCGAGCGAAUGGAUUAAGAGCUUGCUCUUAUGAAGUUAGCGGCGGACGGGUGAGUAACACGUGGGUAACCUGCCCAUAAGACUGGGAUAACUCCGGGAAACCGGGGCUAA